rnacentral:lncRNA from 1 species
ACAGCAACUUCCGAGCAGGAAGGAGAAGCCCGAUCCUAACUGGGGGAAGCUGUUUGCUUAGACAACUUUCUACACUUCAAAUAUUACACCUUAAACAACACACUGGACUAAGAAAUCUGAUCAUGUCCAGGCUUUUAACACCCUCCUCCCCCAAGGAACAAUAAAACACACCAGCGAAAACAAAGAGGCUGCCCUGAAAAGGUUGCAGUGGUGGAUGAUACUGGCAGAAUCAGAAAGGAAGCUAAGAGAAACAGGCGCGUCCUCAGCCGGGCCUCGCGUGUCCUGACACUGCAGCAGGCACGGGAUGUGGGCUGUCCCCUCCAGCACAGUGCGGGAAGGUGCUGGGGCAUCCAAACAGCAAAAGCAAACCUGAGACCCCAAAACAACUGCGUCUGGCCCAGGGGAGUGGGCAAAAAUUCCAACAGGGAGAGACCGUCUCUGGCUUAUUUACAGACAGGGUAAGUAAGGAUGCCCAAAGACAAGGCGGAGUAUUAGUAACAGAACUCAUGAAGUUCUAUGGAUCGGGAUGCUUUAAAAAAAAAAAAAAAACACCAAAGCUCAUCCAGAAUGUCUGAGGUCCCUGCAGUAACAUCCAUGCUAAUUGGUAAGUAAGACAAAGCCUCCCCUAACAAAUCAGCAAUGUAAUUAUAAAGCCAGUCACUAGAUCAAGCCAGUCUCCUGUGCUCCAGCGAUAUUCUGAACCUGUAACCCGAUACCACUGUUUGCUGCCGGCGCCUCCUCCGGGCUCUCCCGCUGCGCACCGGCCGCGCGGGGGCCCGCAGGGCAACGCAGCCUAGGCUGUUUGUGCAAGAUGAGACCCUGCAUUUGACGAAGACCUGCAGGAGCAAUCCUCCCGGCUUUCUUGACAGUGAAGAAGAAGAAGAAGAAAAAAAAAGCCUGACGAUACACUGAAAUUCGAACAGGAAGUCAAGCCCCAAGUAAAUUUAAGAAACAACUUUUACUGUUUGGGGUUGUUUUCUAAAGUCCAAAUUUUUAAAAUUCUAGUUUCUCCUCUCAGAUUUUUACAUGCUCCUAUUAAAUUGAAGGCAAUUUCCAAUACUGGAGGUUUGUCAAAUAUAAACUUUUCUCCUAGUAAAAUAAUUUUUUAAAAAUGUUGACAGCUGCAUUUAGUAAGCAAAAACAUAGUCAAAUUCUGGGAGGGAAUGUUUCAAGUAAAUAUUUCUUUAGAAUAAAUUAUGGCCUUGUUAGUACACAUCUGGAAAGAGAAUAGGCUUUUUAGAAUAUAAAUGUCAAGUGGUAUAAAAUGUUUCUUAUAUCCUGUCUUAGUGGUUCCUCUGCCAGCUGGGAAUUUUAAGUUUUAAUCCCAACUCUUAUGAAGCUAUGGACACCAAUUACCUUCUUCCAAGGACAAUGAGAAUGCUGCCA